rnacentral:tRNA from 1 species
GCCUGGGUGGCUCAGUCGGUUGAGCGCCUGAAUUUGGCUCAGGUCAUGAUCUCACAGCUCUGUGGGUUCGAGCCCCACAUCAGGCU